ACGCAUUGCGUUGUCUGUUCUUUCGCCUAAAAAGCGAGAGAAGUAAGGGCCGGGUAAGACGGGUGCCAGCCGCCGCGGUAAUACCCGCGGCCCGAGUGGUGCUCAUUAUUAUUGAGCUUAAAGCGUUCGUAGCCGGCCUCGUAAAUCCUUGGGUAAAUAAAAGAAGCUCAACUGUUCGAAUUCCGAGGAGACUGCGAGGCUCGGGACCGGGAGAGGUCAGAGGUACUUCGGGGGUAGGGGUAAAAUCCUGUAAUCCUCGAAGGACCACCAGUGGCGAAGGCGUCUGACUAGAACGGAUCCGACGGUGAGGGACGAAGCCCUGGGGCGCAAACGGGAUUAGAUACCCCGGUAGUCCAGGGUGUAAACGCUGCGCCGUCUCUCAUGACCUUGGGGUCCUACGGGGGCGUCCGGUGCCGGAGAGAAAUUGUUAAGAGGGGUUCUCGUACGGUCGCAAGACUGAAACUUAAAAGACCUACUCAAAAGACACCGCAACGGGAGGAGCAGUCCGGUUCAAUUGGAUUCAACACCGGAAGGCGAAUCUG
rnacentral:rRNA from 1 species